GGCUUCCAGCUUCAUCCAUGUCCCUGCAAAGGACAGGAACCCAUUCGUUUUUAUGGUUGCAUAGUAUUCCGUGGUAUAUACGUGCCACAUUUUGUGUAUCCACUGUAUCAUUCAUGGGCAUGAGAUAUCCUCUUAACAUGUGAUCCAGCAAUUGCACUCUUCGGUAUUUAUCCAAAAGAGUUGAAAACUUGUGUUCACAGAAAAACCUGCACAUGGACAUUUAUAGAAGCUUUAUUCAUAAUUGCUCAAACUUGGAGGCAACGAAGAAACCAAAAUGUUCUUCACUAGAAAUGAACUAGCGGAUUCCAAAAUGUGUCCGGAAAUUUAAAGAACCCCAAAGAGCUAAGACAACUUGGAAAAAAACGGUGGAGGACUUACCUGAACUAUCAAAACUGGGUUAAUGAAACCUCCUAGAGGGUCUAGUAAUAAUCUCACAAACAUGUUACAUAUACGUAGUGGAUUUUUGAAUAAAGGUUCAAAGACAUUAGAGAAAGGACGAUAAUGAUGAUAGAAGGAUUAAAUACCAUAGGCAAAAAAGAGAAAAAAAGAGCUCCUGCUAAAUAUCUUCACAUUGUUGGUGUCACUCAUGGAAUUCAAUUCACAUUUUGCGUGUCUAAAAGUUGAACAGAGCUCUUCAUUCUCUUUCCCCAAUUCACUCCACAGAGAUGCUGAUGUCUUUCAGUGGAACUUGGAAGUUUGCUCUUCUUUUUAAAAUGACUUAGAUACUGUUUAUGCAAGAAGUUAUGGGACUGUAACUUACAAAUACUGUUCUAAACCUUGGAAUCACAUAUUCCCCUUUUUCUCUACUUAUCGUUUCUAAUCAGUUUCCCAUUUCCUCUUUCUCCUUCAUAUUUACACUGCAUUCCUUUUAGUUCAGGUUCUUGUUACCCCACUUGACCUCUUGAUGCGGUCACCUGAAUGUCCUUCGUGUUCCAGCCUCCUGGAAUCCUUCCUUCAUGACCCUGCAGAACUGCCCUCCAGACCCGCAGGUGUGACCCGGAAUCAAGGAUCUCAAAGCCGAGUGGGAUCUGAAAGGCUAUCUAGACCAAUCCUCCAUUACAGACGUAUACCUUUUGAUGACUUCACUUCAGAGCCCAAAAUAUUUGCACUGCAGGCAGAAUCACCUAAAUCACUUAAUGUGAUGUUCAGUCUUCCCG